AUUACUUUUGGUCCAAUAGUUGAAAAAAAAAUUGUUCUUGAAACAGCAGCAAAUGCUUUCUCUUUCGUCUUCAUCUUUAGUAUCGUUCGGUGGAAUUGCAAAGCCAUUUUCGGCUCCGGUCAGGUUAAAGUGUCAGUAUACUCCUUUGAGAACAACAAUUAAUAACCCUUCUGAUUCAAUGGCUUCCCCAAAAUGGGCUCAAAAAACUGUAACUCUUCCUCCUCAAAGGCGAGGCUGUCAUCUUGUUACAUCUAAGAUUAUGAAGGAAAUUAAUCAAGAGAUAGCAGGCUUCAAAUGUGGCCUUGCUCAUCUUUUUCUGCAGCAUACAAGUGCUUCUUUAACUAUAAAUGAAAAUUACGACUCAGAUGUUCGAGAAGAUACAGAGACAUUUCUUAGUAGGGUUGUCCCAGAGGGGACUUCUGCACCGUGGAAACAUACUCUUGAGGGGCCAGAUGACAUGCCCGCUCACAUUAAGUCAUCGAUGUUUGGCUGCAACCUCACGAUACCGAUCACAGAUGGAAAGCUAAACAUGGGAACCUGGCAGGGCAUAUGGUUGUGUGAGCACCGUGAUUCUGCUACCCCACGCAGAAUUGUGAUCACCCUUAAUGGAAUGUGAGCCGCUAAAGUGAAAUGUUAAAGAAGACAAUGAGCUACCAACGCCUAUCUUACUGAAACGCGCACAUGUAAUACUAUAAACACUCUCUGGUUGUGAUGUUUUUCUAGUCCAUUUCUGUCUAUACUGAUGUGUGUGUGAUGAAAGCCUCUUGGCCAUUUCUGUUAUAAAACCACUAUGUAGUUUCUGUGUCCCAUUUUCAUUAUGACCAACGAGUUUGUACAUGGAAGUUAUCGUUCCAGCGUUGCAUCUUUUUAUGGAGCAGAUUAGCACCAUAUGUGUUUUCAUUUUCAUGUAAUGAAG
rnacentral:misc_RNA from 1 species